UCCCUGGUGGUCUAGUGGCUAAGACUCUGUCUUUCCAAUGCAGGGUGCCUGGGUUCAACUCCUGGUCAGAGAA
rnacentral:tRNA from 1 species